UGACCCUACGGCGCUAGCAGUCCUCGUGGCCUUCCAGGCCUAGCCGCCAUAUACCCGCCCACCAACCGCUUUCAACCACCUCAUCAGCACAACCUCUUUGGGCGUUCCAACGCGGCGCCCCCUA
ensembl:misc_RNA